AGGACGAACGCUGGCGGCGUGCUUAACACAUGCAAGUCAAGGGGGCCUCGCAAGGGGCAACCGGCGAACGGGUGCGUAACACGUGAGCAACCUGCCUUUGAGAGGGGGAUAGCCGGCCCAACGGCCGGGUAAUACCGCAUACGCUCGUCGUGUGGCAUCACAUGAUGAGGAAACGUUUACGGCUCAGAGAGGGGCUCGCGGCCUAUCAGCUAGUUGGUGCGGUCACGGCGUACCAAGGCGACGACGGGUAGC
rnacentral:rRNA from 1 species